AUGAUUAUAUUUAUUAUGAGAAGUAUAAGCAGAACAAUGAUAAUAUGCUGGCUUAUACACAACCAUCCAUGUAUCACCAUCAUUACAUAUAUAUGGAGCAUCUUUAUUAUAUAUUCGUUUUAUUUUUUUUUUUUUUUUUUCUUUUUCUUUUUUUUUUUUUUUUUUUUUUUUUUUUUUAGUUUUUUUUUUGCAAUUUCGAUUAUUUCGUUUAGUAAAUAUGAAGCAAUAUUUUCAAUUCGUUCGUUAUUUUUUAUAUAGUCAGUAAUAUUUUUUCCAAAGUAGUAGUUUACAGUGUGUUCGAUGUUUUUAUUUUUGUCGGUGGUUUUGUCAGUGGUUUUGUCGGUGGUUUUUUCGGUGGUUUUGUCGGUGGUUUUUUCGGUGGUUUUGUUAGUGGUUUUGUCGGUGGUUUUUUCGGUGGUUUUGUUAGUGGUUUUGUCGGUAGUUUUGUCGGUGGUUUUUUCGGUGGUUUUGUUAGUGGUUUUGUCGGUGGUUUUGUCAGU
rnacentral:lncRNA from 1 species